UACGAAGGGGGCUAGCGUUGCUCGGAAUCACUGGGCGUAAAGGGUGCGUAGGCGGGUUAUUAAGUCAGAGGUGAAAUCCUGGAGCUCAACUCCAGAACUGCCUUUGAUACUGAUAGUCUUGAGUAUGGGAGAGGUGAGUGGAACUGCGAGUGUAGAGGUGAAAUUCGUAGAUAUUCGCAAGAACACCAGUGGCGAAGGCGGCUCACUGGCCCGGUUACUGACGCUGAGGUGCGAAAGCGUGGGGAGCAAACAGG
rnacentral:rRNA from 1 species